GAUGAACGCUGGCGGCGUGCCUAAUACAUGCAAGUCGAGCGAACAGACGAUGAGCUUGCUCCUCUGACGUUAGCGGCGGACGGGUGAGUAACACGUGGAUAACCUACCUAUAAGUCUGGGAUAACUUCGGGAAACCGGAGCUAAUACCGGAUAAUAUAUUGAACCGCAUGGUUCGAUAGUGAAAGACGGUUUUGCGGUCACUUAUAGAUGGAUCCGCGCCGCAUGAGCUAGUUGGUAAGGUAACGGCUUACUAAGGCAACGAUGCGUAGCCGAACUGAGAGGGUGAUAGGCCACACGGGAACUGAGACACGGUCAAGACUCCUAAGGGAGGCACCAGUCGGGAACCUUACGCAAUGGGGGAAAGCUUGACGGAGCAAGGCCGAGUGAGUGAUGACGGUCUUCGGAUCGUAAAACUCUGUUAUUAGUGAAGAACAAAUGUGUAAGUAACUAUGCACGUCUUGACGGUAACUAAUAAGAAAGCAACGGCUAACUACGUG
rnacentral:rRNA from 1 species